rnacentral:misc_RNA from 1 species
UUUCCGUAGGUGAACCUGCGGAAGGAUCAUUACAGAGUUCAUGCCCUUCGGGGUAGACCUCCCACCCUUUGUAUACCUUGCCUUUGUUGCUUUGGCGGGCCGCCUUUUGGCCACCGGCUCCGGCUGGUGCGCGCCCGCCAGAGAACCCCAAACCCUGUCUUACAGUGUCGUCCGAGUACUAUAUAAUAGUUAAAACUUUCAACAACGGAUCUCUUGGUUCUG